rnacentral:rRNA from 1 species
UACGUAGGGUCCAAGCGUUGUCCGGAUUUAUUGGGCGUAAAGCGCUCGUAGGCGGCUCAGUAAGUCGGAUGUGAAAACUCGGGGCUCAACCCCGAGACGCCAUCCGAUACUGCUGUGGCUUGAGUCUGGUAGGGGAACACGGAAUUCCUGGUGUAGCGGUGAAAUGCGCAGAUAUCAGGAGGAACACCAAUAGCGAAGGCAGCUCGCUGGGACGGUAUUGACGCUAAGGCGCGAAAGCGUGGGGAGCAAACAGG